GUCUACGGUCAUGCCACACUGAACAAGCCCGAUGUCUGAUCUCGGAAGCUAAGCAGGGUCGAGUCUGGUUAGUACUUGGAUGGGAGACCACCUAGGAAGACCAGGUGCUGUAGGCA
rfam:Pteropus alecto contig49615, whole genome shotgun sequence.